AACGCUAGCGACAGGCUUAACACAUGCAAGUCGAGGGGUAACAGGGUAGCAAUACCGCUGACGACCGGCGCACGGGUGAGUAACGCGUAUGCAACCUGCCUAUAACUGGGGAAUAGCUCCCUGAAAGGGAAUUAACACCGCAUAACACUAUUGAUUCGCAUGGAUUGGUAGUUAAAUGUAGCGAUACAGGUUAUAGAUGGGCAUGCGUGACAUUAGCUAGUUGGUGAGGUAACGGCUCACCAAGGCUACGAUGUCUAGGGGUUCUGAGAGGAAGGUCCCCCACACUGGUACUGAGACACGGACCAGACUCCUACGGGAGGCAGCAGUGAGGAAUAUUGGUCAAUGGGCGCAAGCCUGAACCAGCCAUGUCGCGUGCAGGAAGACUGCCCUAUGGGUUGUAAACUGCUUUUAUAGUAGAAGAAACACAUCUACGCGUAGAUGUCUGCCAGUAUACUAUGAAUAAGCAUCGGCUAACUCCGUG
rnacentral:rRNA from 1 species